rnacentral:rRNA from 1 species
GAUGAACGCUAGCGGCAGGCUUAACACAUGCAAGUCGAGGGGUAGAGGCUUUCGGGCCUUGAGACCGGCGCACGGGUGCGUAACGCGUAUGCAAUCUGCCUUUCACAGAGGGAUAGCCCAGAGAAAUUUGGAUUAAUACCUCAUAGCAUAACACAACCGCAUGGUUGAGUUAUUAAAGUCACAACGGCAAAAGAUGAGCAUGCGUCCCAUUAGCUUGUUGGUAAGGUAACGGCUUACCAAGGCAACGAUGGGUAGGGGUCCUGAGAGGGAGAUCCCCCACACUGGUACUGAGACACGGACCAGACUCCUACGGGAGGCAGCAGUGAGGAAUAUUGGACAAUGGGCGCAAGCCUGAUCCAGCCAUGCCGCGUGCAGGAUGACGGUCCUAUGGAUUGUAAACUGCUUUUGUACAGGAAGAAACACUGGUUCGUGAACCAGCUUGACGGUACUGUAAGAAUAAGGAUCGGCUAACUCCGUGCCAGCAGCCGCCGUAA